rnacentral:rRNA from 1 species
AUGAACGCUAGCUACAGGCUUAACACAUGCAAGUCGAGGGGCAGCAUGGUCUUAGCUUGCUAAGGCCGAUGGCGACCGGCGCACGGGUGAGUAACACGUAUCCAACCUGCCGUCUACUCUUGGACAGCCUUCUGAAAGGAAGAUUAAUACAAGAUGGCAUCAUGAGUCCGCAUGUUCACAUGAUUAAAGGUAUUCCGGUAGACGAUGGGGAUGCGUUCCAUUAGAUAGUAGGCGGGGUAACGGCCCACCUAGUCUUCGAUGGAUAGGGGUUCUGAGAGGAAGGUCCCCCACAUUGGAACUGAGACACGGUCCAAACUCCUACGGGAGGCAGCAGUGAGGAAUAUUGGUCAAUGGGCGAGAGCCUGAACCAGCCAAGUAGCGUGAAGGAUGACUGCCCUAUGGGUUGUAAACUUCUUUUAUAAAGGAAUAAAGUCGGGUAUGGAUACCCGUUUGCAUGUACUUUAUGAAUAAGGAUCGGCUAACUCCGUGCCAGCAGCCGCGGUAAUACGGAGGAUCCGAGCGUUAUCCGGAUUUAUUGGGUUUAAAGGGAGCGUAGAUGGAUGUUUAAGUCAGUUGUGAAAGUUUGCGGCUCAACCGUAAAAUUGCAGUUGAUACUGGAUAUCUUGAGUGCAGUUGAGGCAGGCGGAAUUCGUGGUGUAGCGGUGAAAUGCUUAGAUAUCACGAAGAAUUCCGAUUGCGAAGGCAGCCUGCUAAGCUGCAACUGACAUUGAGGCUCGAAAGUGUGGGUAUCAAACAGGAUUAGAUACCCUGGUAGUCCACACGGUAAACGAUGAAUACUCGCUGUUUGCGAUAUACGGCAAGCGGCCAAGCGAAAGCGUUAAGUAUUCCACCUGGGGAGUACGCCGGCAACGGUGAAACUCAAAGGAAUUGACGGGGGCCCGCACAAGCGGAGGAACAUGUGGUUUAAUUCGAUGAUACGCGAGGAACCUUACCCGGGCUUAAAUUGCAGAUGAAUUACGGUGAAAGCCGUAAGCCGCAAGGCAUCUGUGAAGGUGCUGCAUGGUUGUCGUCAGCUCGUGCCGUGAGGUGUCGGCUUAAGUGCCAUAACGAGCGCAACCCUUGUUGUCAGUUACUAACAGGUUCUGCUGAGGACUCUGACAAGACUGCCAUCGUAAGAUGUGAGGAAGGUGGGGAUGACGUCAAAUCAGCACGGCCCUUACGUCCGGGGCUACACACGUGUUACAAUGGGGGGUACAGAGGGCCGCUACCACGCGAGUGGAUGCCAAUCCCCAAAACCUCUCUCAGUUCGGACUGGAGUCUGCAACCCGACUCCACGAAGCUGGAUUCGCUAGUAAUCGCGCAUCAGCCACGGCGCGGUGAAUACGUUCCCGGGCCUUGUACACACCGCCCGUCAAGCCAUGGGAGCCGGGGGUACCUGAAGUGCGUAACCGCGAGGAGCGCCCUAGGGUAAAACUGGUGACUGGGGCU